CAGGACAGUGCCUUGCAGACUAAGAACGCACUGGACCCCCCAGUGAUAAGACAGGCGGGACAUGGAAUCUCACACUUCCGCCUCCACGGCUGGCAAUGGCUAACAGUACAGACAGCACCCUCCUCUCAGGAAGCAAGAACAAAAUGCAGGACAGGACUACCAUAGAGCAAAGCCACCGAGAAGGUUCUAGAGCUGUCCCAAGUAGGGGCACCCUAAGCCUGACAUAUAGACUUUACUGUGCGACCCCCGGCAAGGCUCAUAGCCUCGCUGAGCCUCUGUUAAGUGGGCACAGUGGCAGUGCCUUUCACAUAGCAUUUGGAGAUUGCGUGAAUGCAUUCGGCUUCAAACAGGGCUGGCCGGCUCCAAGGACCACUGGCACUAGUUGCGUCUUCAAAUUAGAUGCUCACCAGUGUGCAGAAGUCCAGGCCACUGGGGACCAGCAUUUUGUCCCCUCCUUUCCUCAGAAGCACGGUCACCUGUGUGCCUCAGCCCCUGCUAGGCACUGGAGGAACAGAAGCAGAAGCAACCUCAGGCCCUCCUACUGGCGCCACAGUUGGGGGGGCAGGGCAUGGUAGGCUGAGGCAAGAGGAUGAGGAGGGGGGGAAUGCUGCAACUAAAUUUGCUCAUCCAGCCUGUCAGUCCCUUAAUCUGGUCCCGGAGGAACAGCACAGAGGCUUCACUCUGGAUGACAAACGAGGAGGCCUGCCCUGCCUGGACGCUGGGUCCUACCAUGUCUGUGUAACCAACAUGAAACCCAGAGCAAAUCCCAGCAAACACCAUUUUUCUCCUUCAGAGGGGUCUUCCAGCGGUUCGCAUUCAGACCUGGGAAAGCAUUCUUCUCUCUGUGCCUCGGUAUGCUGAUCUGGAAAAUGGGCUUCCUGUGAGGCUCAGUGGAGUGAGCAGUCUAAAUACAUUAUGAGGUCGCAGAGGUCACCCAGAAUCCUAGCCUUCUGCGUGGAUACCCUCGGUCUCCUCUCCAAGCCUGCAGGGGCACGCUUGUGCAGAAGAGCCAAAGCUGUGAACCUCCCAGAAUAAAGACCGUCAGGCAUAACUAGAAGGGGGGAUUUAUCCUAGGUCUAGUAUCUUAAGGAGCACAGAGCAAAGAUCUAGAGGCCGGCUACCACCACUGACCCGUGCUGCCCAGUCCAGCAUCUCCCAGCUUCCUGCGUGCAACCGGUUUGGUGGUGCAGUCCUCUGACGUCACAGACUCGAAGCCCUUAAGGCUUGUUGAACAAGGCUCCGUGCAAGGGUUGGGGGUACUUCUCGGUUGGUGGAGUGGCCGCAAGCGUGCUCAGAACCCCGGACUUCCCACCGCCAGCUCCCCAUAAACUGGGUGUGGUGCCUGUUACCUCAGUACUCCCGAGACAGGGAAAACAGAAAAGGUGUCCCACACCUCAGGAAACUGGCCCCUGCAGAGCUACAUUUGACCUGGAAGAAGGUAAUGUGGAGAUGGAGGUCCAGUGUCGGGGUACUGAGGAGCAUAAAGGCAGUCCCAGAAGAUCUCUAGGCACAGCAGAUGCCCCUCUGAUGCGUACUUCUGAAGGAGUCUCCAGAAGGGCGGCAUGGAGGGAGGGGCUUCUAAGCCACGCCCUCACAGUUCUCCUGCUCUGACCUCUCGGGGUUUGCCCUGAGUCCCGCUGCAGUUCCGGACCUCAAGUGGACCCUGCCCAGGAUUCCCACCCCCUCACAAGGCCUGCAUCUUUCGCACAGAGCCACCAGGAGGCGCCCUGCGCCUGUAGGUCCCCUUCCCUGCCGCCUGGAUGAGUUAGGUCUGUGGCUGGGCGAUCAAAGCCUCCGAGCAGCCCAGAGUCCCUGCCCCGCUUCAGGGCGACCCUUUCCUUCUCAUACAUAAUGUUUCUCUGGUCGCAGCAGGGCUGCCACAGCUGAGCCGGUCACAAUGCGGCAAAUGUCCCACCAGUGAGCGGGUCAUCAGAGCUUCUUCAGCACCCGCCAAGCAGGUACCCUGCUCUUUCCCUGAGUCCCCACCUGUGGAGUUCUCGGUCUCAGUGCAAGCUCUGUGACCAUUGCCGGGCAAGGUCUGGUUUGGUCUGCUCUGGUCCCAGUCACAGAUGAGUCUCAGCCCAUUCCAGGUUUCCACGGAGCAAUGGUUCCCGCGCCUGCUUUGUUCAGACUCAUCCAGUGCGUUACCGCUUAGGCCUGGGUCACCGGGCUGGAGGUCAGGUCCUGCAAAGGGAACAGUCACCCAAUACCAGGGCUUCUUCUGACUCCCUCAGUCUUGGGGGGAGAUUCCACCUGGAAACCACCAGGAGGAAACCGGUCUGAUUUUUGAA